AUUGAACGCUAGCGGCAUGCCUUACACAUGCAAGUCGAACGGCAGCACGGGGGCAACCCUGGUGGCGAGUGGCGAACGGGUGAGUAAUGCAUCGGAACGUGCCCAUCGAUGGGGGAUAACUGCGCGAAAGCGUUGCUAAUACCGCAUACGACCUACGGGUGAAAGCAGGGGACCGCAAGGCCUUGCGUCGAUGGAGCGGCCGAUGCCGGAUUAGCUAGUUGGUGAGGUAAAGGCUCACCAAGGCGACGAUCCGUAGCUGGUCUGAGAGGACGACCAGCCCACACUGGGACUGAGACACGGCCCAGACUCCUACGGGAGGCAGCAGUGGGGAAUCUUGGACAAUGGGCGAAAGCCUGAUCCAGCAAUGCCGCGUGUGGGAAGAAGGCCUUCGGGUUGUAAAGCUCUGUGAUUCAGGACGAACGUAUCCUAUGUGGAUAAUGUGGGGUAGUGACGGUACCGGAAGAGGAAGCCACGGCUAACUACGUG
rnacentral:rRNA from 1 species